rnacentral:rRNA from 1 species
CAGCAGCCACGGUAAUACGUAGGGUGCGAGCGUUAAUCGGAAUUACUGGGCGUAAAGCGUGCGCAGGCGGUUGUGUAAGACAGGUGUGAAAUCCCCGGGCUUAACCUGGGAACUGCGCUUGUGACUGCACAGCUAGAGUAUGGCAGAGGGGGGUGGAAUUCCACGUGUAGCAGUGAAAUGCGUAGAGAUGUGGAGGAACACCGAUGGCGAAGGCAGCCCCCUGGGCCAAUACUGACGCUCAUGCACGAAAGCGUGGGGAGCAAACAGGAUUAGAUACCCGCGUAGUCCAUGUCUCUUAUAC